UAUUUAUUUAUUUAAACUUCCCUUUCUACUUAUGACCGCUCUAGAGACAUUACAAAGAAAAAUAAAGCUUGGAAAGAGUUAGCAGAGUUCUUUGAGAUCCUCUGUAAGACGGUGAGAAGGACACGGGCACUUUCCCGAGGCGGAGUCGGGGGUGGAGGGGUGAAGAGAGGAGGCAUGGAGUGUGACGUGACCUUCUGCCACCAAGAGGAAAGAGAGACUAUGAUUGCAAGUGGACAAUACAGCUGUGUGUGUGUGUGUGUGUGUGUG
ensembl:lncRNA